UACGAAGGGUGCAAACGUUGCUCGGAAUUAUUGGGCGUAAAGCGCACGUAGGCGGCAUCGCAAGUCGGAUGUGAAAUCUUAUGGCUUAACCAUAAAAGUGCAUCCGAAACUGCAGUGCUUGAGUACUUAAGAGGAUCGCGGAAUUCCCGGUGUAGAGGUGAAAUUCGUAGAUAUCGGGAGGAACCCCAGUGGCGAAGGCGGCGAUCUGGGAAGAUACUGACGCUGAGGUGCGAAAGCGUGGGGAGCAAACAGG
rnacentral:rRNA from 1 species